rnacentral:tRNA from 1 species
GCGCUAGUGGCGAAAUUGGUAGACGCGCUGGAUUUAGAUUCCAGUCCGAAAGGGUGUGGGUUCGAGUCCCUCCUGGCGCA